rnacentral:rRNA from 1 species
AGAGUUUGAUCCUGGCUCAGGAUGAACGCUGGCGGCGUGCCUAAUACAUGCAAGUCGAGCGAAUGGAUUAAGAGCUUGCUCUUAUGGAGUUAGCGGCGGACGGGUGAGUAACACGUGGGUAACCUGCCCAUAAGACUGGGAUAACUCCGGGAAACCGGGGCUAAUACCGGAUAACAUUUUGAACCGCAUGGUUCGAAAUUGAAAGGCGGCUUCGGCUGUCACUUAUGGAUGGACCCGCGUCGCAUUAGCUAGUUGGUGAGGUAACGGCUCACCAAGGCAACGAUGCGUAGCCGACCUGAGAGGGUGAUCGGCCACACUGGGACUGAGACACGGCCCAGACUCCUACGGGAGGCAGCAGUAGGGAAUCUUCCGCAAUGGACGAAAGUCUGACGGAGCAACGCCGCGUGAGUGAUGAAGGCUUUCGGGUCGUAAAACUCUGUUGUUAGGGAAGAACAAGUGCUAGUUGAAUAAGCUGGCACCUUGACGGUACCUAACCAGAAAGCCACGGCUAACUACGUGCCAGCAGCCGCGGUAAUACGUAGGUGGCAAGCGUUAUCCGGAAUUAUUGGGCGUAAAGCGCGCGCAGGUGGUUUCUUAAGUCUGAUGUGAAAGCCCACGGCUCAACCGUGGAGGGUCAUUGGAAACUGGGAGACUUGAGUGCAGAAGAGGAAAGUGGAAUUCCAUGUGUAGCGGUGAAAUGCGUAGAGAUAUGGAGGAACACCAGUGGCGAAAGCGACUUUCUGGUCUGUAACUGACACUGAGGCGCGAAAGCGUGGGGAGCAAACAGGAUUAGAUACCCU